UAAAACUGAACCAUUUCGACGAUACAACCAUUUUAUUCGGGGCACGUUUCUUCAUACAGCACCAGCCGCAGAGGAAUCAUAUUUUCAUCAAACAUGGAAUCCAUCAUUAAAUUUCUAGUUUUCAUUGCCUUAUUAAGUGUGUGUUCAUCCCAGUUUACCUGUACUACCCUGCCCUCUGAUCUAACUAAAUGUGGCACUGAUCAUCUAAGUAGUAAAAUGCCUGAGUUAGCUGAGAUGCUAACGGGCACCACAGACUUUAUAGCUCUAGCGGUUUUAAUACCACACUGGAAAGACAUGUGUAUGUAUUCAAGUGAUGUGAAGGAUUUCUUUACUUGUAGUUUCAAUGCUAUAGAAAACUGUGCGGAAAGUGACUUUAUAGGAACAUACCCAACAGCUAGUCGAUUCAUUGAAGGUUUUGAUUAUGCUUGUAGCAAGGUUAACGAUGUGGACAUCGGCUGUUAUCAAAUCAAUCAAAGAGCUAUUCACGAAUGUGCCAUCACUGCUGCAGGGAGCCCACCCACAUCAGAUGUUAUAAAAGAUAUUGUAGAGCACAACUGCCGAAUCUUUGAAGCAGAAGUGGAAUGUACUAGCCGAUCAAUGACCACCUGUGAAGAUAGUAAGAAUAUAAUAGAAACAUAUCUGGAAUAUCUCGCACGACCUGCUUGCAGCGCCGCCAUCUACUUCCGGCCAAGUCUAACAUUGUCCGCCAUUAUGAUUUUUGUAGCAUAUUUUAUGAACAAACAGUGAUUUUCUUUUACUCGCCUUAGAUGUUAGACUGGGUAGCCUGCUAUCCUACGUACGUCAAACGUGCUUCUACGUCAAAAUCAUAGAAAUAUAUACAUAGAAUAAACCCAUGACGUAUUGCCUGAGCAAUGGUCACGAAUCAAAUUAGCUUAGCCGGAGCAGAACAGCAGAACGCUAAACCCCAUUUUAUUUCAUUAAAAUGUUCUCUCUUGAAAAUCGAGGGGUUGGAUGGCCGAAUGGUUAGCACGUGCGCGCUGUAUCAUAAGGCCUGUCAUUGAGACAAUUGGCGUGGUUUCGAAUCCCCGGUUGUACGUAACAAGGAGUAGAGUUGCCUGUCCAACCUCGUGGGUUUUCUCCGGGUCCUCCGGUUUCUUCCAACUGCUAAAGACCCCUACGUGCAAGCGAAUUUUUGAAAUAAAAUUAAACCAUAUGUUAGUCCCGAAAUGACCUAGUCUGUGUCGAUUGGACGUUGAAGUUAAACCCCAUUUCUCUCUCUCUCUCUCUCUCUUGAAAAACAUGUUUGACUGUAUUUUCGACAGAGUUUCACGCAACGUCAUGUAGAGCCGGUUACCCAGUCCACUUUAGAUGUAACCAAUAUCAUAUAUUCAUUUCAUUUACAUUUCUCUCGUAUGAAUAUGAUAAUGACGAGAUAAAUUGCUGUCAUACUGCAUUCUUCUCAUAUAUAAUUUAAAUAACCCAUGUAACACGUAUGGCAUAA